rnacentral:rRNA from 1 species
GAUGAACGCUGGCGGCGUGCCUAAUACAUGCAAGUCGAGCGAACAGACGAGGAGCUUGCUCCUCUGACGUUAGCGGCAGACGGGUGAGUAACACGUGGAUAACCUACCUAUAAGACUGGGAUAACUUCGGGAAACCGGAGCUAAUACCGGAUAAUAUUUUGAACCGCAUGGUUCAAUAGUGAAAGACGGUUUUGCUGUCACUUAUAGAUGGAUCCGCGCCGCAUUAGCUAGUUGGUAAGGUAACGGCUUACCAAGGCGACGAUGCGUAGCCGACCUGAGAGGGUGAUCGGCCACACUGGAACUGAGACACGGUCCAGACUCCUACGGGAGGCAGCAGUAGGGAAUCUUCCGCAAUGGGCGAAAGCCUGACGGAGCAACGCCGCGUGAGUGAUGAAGGUCUUCGGAUCGUAAAACUCUGUUAUUAGGGAAGAACAAAUGUGUAAGUAACUAUGCACGUCUUGACGGUACCUAAUCAGAAAGCCACGGCUAACUACGUG